ACCUUGUUAGUGCAGUAGGUAGCAUGUCAGUCCCAUAAUCUGAUGGUCGUGAGUUCGAUUUUCACACAAGGCA